AUGGACGAAAGUCUGAUGGAGCAACGCCGCGUGAGUGAUGAAGGGUGUCGGCUCGUAAAACUCUGUUGUUGGAGAAGAACAGGUGUGAGAGUAACUGUUCACAUCUUGACGGUAUCCAACCAGAAAGCCACGGCUAACUACGUGCCAGCAGCCGCGGUAAUACGUAGGUGGCAAGCGUUGUCCGGAUUUAUUGGGCGUAAAGCGAGCGCAGGCGGUUUUUUAGGUCUGAUGUGAAAGCCUUCGGCUUAACCGGAGAAGUGCAUCGGAAACCGGGAGACUUGAGUGCAGAAGAGGACAGUGGAACUCCAUGUGUAGCGGUGAAAUGCGUAGAUAUAUGGAAGAACACCAGUGGCGAAGGCGGCUGUCUGGUCUGUAACUGACGCUGAGGCUCGAAAGCAUGGGUAGCGAACAGGAUUAGAUACCCUGGUAGUCCAUGCCGUAAACGAUGAGUGCUAAGUGUUGGAGGGUUUCCGCCCUUCAGUGCUGCAGCUAACGCAUUAAGCACUCCGCCUGGGGAGUACGACCGCAAGGUUGAAACUCAAAGGAAUUGACGGGGGCCCGCACAAGCGGUGGAGCAUGUGGUUUAAUUCGAUGCUACGCGAAGAACCUUACCAGGUCUUGACAUCUUCUGCCAACCUAAGAGAUUAGGCGUUCCCCUUCGGGG
rnacentral:rRNA from 1 species